rnacentral:rRNA from 1 species
GAUGAACGCUGCCAGAAUGCUUAACACAUCAGCCAUUGAUUGGUGGCGGCCGGGUGCGUAACGCGUAAAGAACUUGCCUCUCAGGUCGGGACAACAUUUGGAAACGAAUGCUAAUACCUAAUACUGUGAGAGAGCUUUGCGUCCCAUUAGCAAGUUGGAGAGGUAACGGCUCACCAAGGCGAUGAUGGGUAGCCGGCCUGAGAGGGUGAUCGGCAAUAAGUGGAAUGAGACACGGCCCUUAAUCCUACGGGAGGCAGCAGUGGGGAAUAUUGGACAAUGGAACAAAGUAUGAUCCAGAAAUUCUGUGUGCACGAUGAAGUUUUCGGAAUGUAAAGUGCUUUCAGUUGGGAAGCGGUACCAACAGAAGAAGUGACGGCUAAAUACGUGCCAGCAGCCGCGGUAAUAC